AACUACUCGAAAGAGUGGCUAAUACCGCAUACGAUCUGAGGAUGAAAGCGGGGGAUCGCAAGACCUCGCGCGUCUGGAGCGGCCGAUGGCAGAUUAGGUAGUUGGUGAGGUAAAGGCUUACCAAGCCUGCGAUCUGUAGCUGGUCUGAGAGGAUGAUCAGCCACACUGGGACUGAGACACGGCCCAGACUCCUACGGGAGGCAGCAGUGGGGAAUUUUGGACAAUGGGCGAAAGCCUGAUCCAGCCAUUCCGCGUGCAGGAUGAAGGCCCUCGGGUUGUAAACUGCUUUUGUACGGAACGAAAAAGCUCCGGCUAAUACCUGGAGUCCAUGACGGUACCGUAAGAAUAAGCACCGGCUAACUACGUGCCAGCAGCCGCGGUAAUACGUAGGGUGCAAGCGUUAAUCAGAAUUACUGGGCGUAAAGCGUGCGCAGGCGGUUUUGUAAGACAGAGGUGAAAUCCCCGGGCUCAACCUGGGAACUGCCUUUGUGACUGCAAGGCUGGAGUGCGGCAGAGGGGGAUGGAAUUCCGCGUGUAGCAGUGAAAUGCGUAGAUAUGCGGAGGAACACCGAUGGCGAAAGCAAUCCCCUGGGCCUGCACUGACGCUCAU
rnacentral:rRNA from 1 species